AGAGUUUGAUCCUGGCUCAGAACGAACGCUGGCGGCGUGGAUAAGACAUGCAAGUCGAACGGGAAUUCUUUUGGUAGCAAUACCGAGAGAAUUCUAGUGGCGAACGGGUGCGUAACACGUGGGCAAUCUACCGAGAAGUGGGGGAUAGCUCGCCGAAAGGCGAAUUAAUACCGCAUGUGAUCAGGGAAGACAUCUUUCCGAAAUCAAAGGUGGCGCAAGCUACCGCUUUUUGAGGGGCCCGCGGCCUAUCAGCUUGUUGGUGAGGUAACGGCUCACCAAGGCUAUGACGGGUAGCUGGUCUGAGAGGACGACCAGUCACACUGGAACUGAGACACGGUCCAGACACCUACGGGUGGCAGCAGUCGAGAAUUUUUCUCAAUGGGGGCAACCCUGAAGGAGCGACGCCGCGUGGAGGAUGAAGGCUUUCGGGUUGUAAACUCCUGUCAUUUGAGAACAAGUUGGACGCAGUAACUACGCGUCCAUUGAUAGUAUCAGAAGAGGAAGGGACGGCUAACUCUGUGCCAGCAGCCGCGGUAAUACAGAGGUCCCAAGCGUUGUUCGGAUUCAUUGGGCGUAAAGGGUGCGUAGGUGGCGCCGUAAGUGGGGUGUGAAAUCCCGAGGCUUAACCUCGGGACUGCAUUCCAUACUGCGGUGCUUGAGGACUGGAGAGGAGACUGGAAUUUACGGUGUAGCAGUGAAAUGCGUAGAGAUCGUAAGGAAGACCAGUGGCGAAGGCGGGUCUCUGGACAGUUCCUGACACUGAGGCACGAAGGCCAGGGGAGCAAACGGGAUUAGAUACCCUAGUAGUCC
rnacentral:rRNA from 1 species